rnacentral:rRNA from 1 species
AAUAGAUACCCUGGUAGUCCACGCCGUAAACGAUGAGUGCUAAGUGUUAGGGGGUUUCCGCCCCUUAGUGCUGCAGCUAACGCAUUAAGCACUCCGCCUGGGGAGUACGGCCGCAAGGCUGAAACUCAAAGGAAUUGACGGGGGCCCGCACAAGCGGUGGAGCAUGUGGUUUAAUUCGAAGCAACGCGAAGAACCUUACCAGGUCUUGACAUCCUCUGACAACCCUAGAGAUAGGGCGUUCCCCUUCGGGGGACAGAGUGACAGGUGGUGCAUGGUUGUCGUCAGCUCGUGUCGUGAGAUGUUGGGUUAAGUCCCGCAACGAGCGCAACCCUUGAUCUUAGUUGCCAGCAUUUAGUUGGGCACUCUAAGGUGACUGCCGGUGACAAACCGGAGGAAGUGGGGAUGACGUCAAAUCAUCAUGCCCCUUAUGACCUGGGCUACACACGUGCUACAAUGGAUGGUACAAAGGGCUGCCAAACCGCGAGGUUGAGCGAAUCCCAUAAAACCAUUCUCAGUUCGGAUUGCAGGCUGCUAACCG